CACCUGUUUAUCAAAAACAUGGUUUUUAGAAUAUGAUUUAAAAUUGGUCCUGCUCAAUGAGAAUUUUUAAAUAGCUGCAGUAAAUUGACUGUACAAAGGUAGCAUAAUCAAUUGCUUUUUAAUUGGAAGCUAGUAUGAAAGGAUUGAUGAAAUUUAGACUGUUUCAAAGUAAAUUAAAGAAUUUAUAUAUUAAGUAAAAAUUCUUAAAUGUAUUUAAGGGACGAGAAGACCCUAUAGAAUUUUAUAUAAAAUUUUUAUUUUAAAAAUUAAUUAAUUUAUAAGUAAAGAUUUAUAUUUAGUUGGGAGGAUUAUUAAAUUUUUUAAACUUUAAUUGAAAUAAAAAUAUUAAUGAAUAAAUUAAAGAUUGGUUUAUAAAAUUAAGAAGAAUUAAUUACCUUAGGGAUAACAGCGUUAUAUUUUUAGAGAGUUCAUAUUAAUAAAAAUGUUUGCGACCUCGAUGUUGAAUUAAGAUAAAAAUUAAAUGUAGAAGUUUAAUAUUUAAGUCUGU
rnacentral:rRNA from 1 species